GACGAACGCUGGCGGCGUGCUUAACACAUGCAAGUCGAGCGGUAAGGCCCUUUCGGGGGUACACGAGCGGCGAACGGGUGAGUAACACGUGGGUGACCUGCCCUCAGCUUUGGGAUAAGCCUGGGAAACCGGGUCUAAUACUGGAUAUGACUCCAUGACGCAUGUUGUGGGGUGGAAAGCCUUGUGCGGCUGAGGAUGGGCCCGCGGCCUAUCAGCUUGUUGGUGGGGUGAUGGCCUACCAAGGCGACGACGGGUAGCCGGCCUGAGAGGGCGACCGGCCACACUGGGACUGAGACACGGCCCAGACUCCUACGGGAGGCAGCAGUGGGGAAUCUUGCGCAAUGGGCGAAAGCCUGACGCAGCGACG
rnacentral:rRNA from 1 species